rnacentral:rRNA from 1 species
AGCAGCCGCGGUAAUUCCAGCUCCAAUAGCGUAUAUUAAAGUUGUUGCAGUUAAAAAGCUCGUAGUUGAAUUUCGGGGUCAGUAAGUUGGUCGUGCCACUGGUAUGCACUGGCUUUACUGAUUCCUCCUUCUUGAAGAACUGUGAUGUCAUUUACUUGGUGUUGCAGGGAAACAGGACUGUUACUUUGAAAAAUUCGAGUGUUUAAAGCAGGCUAACGCUUGAAUACAUUAGCAUGGAAUAAUGAAAUAGGACGUUUGACCCUAUUUUGUUGGUUUCUAGGAUCGACGUAAUGAUUAAUAGGGAUAGUUGGGGCAUUAGUAUUCAAUUGUCAGAGGUGAAAUUCUUGGAUUUAUUGAAGUACUAACUACUGCGAAAGCAUUUGCCAAGGAUGUUUCAUUAAUCAAGAACGAAGUUAGGGAU